CAGUAGCCGCGGGAAUACGAGGGGGGCAAGCGUUGUUCGGAUUUAUUGGGCGUAAAGGGUGCGUAGGCGGUUUGGCAAGUCUUGUGUGAAAUCUCCGGGCUCAACCCGAAGCCUGCACGAGAAACUACCGGGCUUGAGUAUUGGAGAGGUGAGUGGAAUUUCCGGUGUAGCGGUGAAAUGCGUAGAUAUCGGAAGGAACACCUGUGGCGAAAGCGGCUCACUGGACAAUAACUGACGCUGAUGCACGAAAGCUAGGGGAGCAAACAGGAUUAGAUACCCCCGUAGUCCCUGUCUCUUAUAC
rnacentral:rRNA from 1 species